UAAGACAGAAUGCUCCUGUCAAGGUUUUUCUCAGUAGGGUACAAAAUGGUUGCCUAGGAAACCAAUGUUAAUUGCUGCUGCUGCUGGAAUCUAGUCAACAAGGAAAGCACUGUGUAGAUCGAAGUGCUCCACUAAACAAACACCCUCCAUAAAUUCAUAAAGAGGGGGGGAAAAAGGGAAAAUUUCCUAAUAGCUUCUAUGAAAGCAUUUCCUUGAAUCAGCCGGUAGUGAAAGCGUUUAAAGAGCAGAUUGUUGGGGGGGGUUGUUUGCAUGUUUCCCUGGCAUCUUUGCAUUAAUAAAGGAAGCCAGCAUUGGUAUACCCCACCUUUUGGAUCACAACACACACCAUCACAACUGGCAACGUGUCAUCUACACAUCUUUGUCUUUGACCAGAUGUCUAACCUUCACGAGGAAAACACUGAAAAGAUCCCCAUCUUCUGGUCUCAUCCACCGGUGCUGCCAGGCCAGACGCUUUGCAGAGGACACUGAGAAUCAUGCUAUGAUUUUAUGUCAUGCUCCAGGAGUGUGAAUGUGAGUUCUGUAACAGAAAUGUGCACUUUGCCUGCCAUGGAUGACUGCCUAAGAGGGCUAUCUCCAACAAGACAAGAAGCCUGGACCCAAUAGCAAAUGCUCUCAGGGGAUGACUACACUUGAGGAGGGUUGGAUGUGAAAACUCAUCCUCAAGAUUCCUCCCAAAUAACUGUUGUAUUAUUUGAAACAACUGCAAGGCAAUGUCCAAGUUCCAUUCAUGUUUUCCAAUAAAGGACAAGUGCUGAUAUUUACAAAUUAA